AUAAUACUUCCUCUGUCCGGAACACUUGUCGGAGAAAUGGAUGUAUCUAGACAUAUUUUAGUUCUAGAUACAUCCAUUUUUAUUCAUUUCUCUGACAAGUAUUUCCGACGAGGGAGUAUGUU
rfam:Triticum aestivum genome assembly, contig: Triticum_aestivum_CS42_TGACv1_scaffold_320640_4BL